AUGGUGGCGACACUUGUCACCACCGGACCAGCCAACCAAACCAACAUAAUAAUAAUCAAAACGAACAAAUUAUUAUUAACAUGUAUUAAGAAAAUAUUAAAGGCAGAAAAAAAAUUCUCAAUCCUCUGUCUCUCGCUCUACUCCACCCUUCAUUCUCUGUCUCAAACAUUAAACAAACAAAAUAGACUCAAAAAGUAA